GACGAACGCUGGCGGCGUGCUUAACACAUGCAAGUCGAACGGUAAGGCCCUUCGGGGUACACGAGUGGCGAACGGGUGAGUAACACGUGGGUGAUCUGCCCUGCACUUCGGGAUAAGCCUGGGAAACUGGGUCUAAUACCGGAUAGGACUCCGGACGGCAUGGUCGGGGGUGGAAAGCUUUUGCGGUGUGGGAUGGGCCCGCGGCCUAUCAGCUUGUUGGUGGGGUGAUGGCCUACCAAGGCGACGACGGGUAGCCGGCCUGAGAGGGUGACCGGCCACACUGGGACUGAGAUACGGCCCAGACUCCUACGGGAGGCAGCAGUGGGGAAUAUUGCACAAUGGGCGCAAGCCUGAUGCAGCGACGCCGCGUGAGGGAUGACGGCCUUCGGGUUGUAAACCUCUUUCAGCAUCGACGAAGCGAAAGUGACGGUAGGUGCAGAAGAAGGACCGGCCAACUACGUGCCAGCAGCCGCAGUAA
rnacentral:rRNA from 1 species